rnacentral:rRNA from 1 species
AAUAGGGCGCUAAGUUCGACGUAUGACGACCCGAAACUAGGUGAUCUAUCCAUGAGCAGGAUGAAGGUUGGGUAACACCAACUGGAGGUCCGAACCCGUGAAUGUUGAAAAAUUCUGGGAUGACUUGUGGAUAGGGGUGAAAGGCCAAUCAAACCUAGACAUAGCUGGUUCUCCGCGAAAUCUAUUUAGGUAGAGCGUCCGACGAAUUCCCUGGGGGGUAGAGCACUGGAUGGUUGCGGGCUGCGCGAGCGGUACCAAUACUAACCAAACUCCGAAUACCCAGGAGAACUAUCGGGCAGACACACGGCGGGUGCUAACGUCCGUCGUGAAAAGGGAAACAACCCUAACCAUCAUCUAAGGCCCCCAAGUACUGGCUAAGUGGGAAACGAUGUGGGAUUGCUUUGACAAUCAGGAGGUUGGCUUAGAAGCAGCCAUCCUUUAAAGAAAGCGUAACAGCUCACUGAUCAAGCGAUCCUGCGCGGAAAAUGUAACGGGGCUCAAGCCAGUCGCCGAAGGUAUGGGUUUGCAGUUUACUGCAAGCGGUAGCGGAGCGUUCCGUAAGCCGGUGAAGGUCAGGCGUGAGCCUGGCUGGAGGUAUCGGAAGUGAGAAUGCUGACAUGAGUAACGAUAAACAGUGUGAGAAACACUGUCGCCGAAAGACCAAGGGUUCCUGCGUAAAGCUAAUCUGCGCAGGGUUAGUCGGCCCCUAAGGCGAGGCUGAAAAGCGUAGUCGAUGGGAAGCAGGUAAAUAUUCCUGCACCAGCUAGAAGUGACGGAUGGCGUAAGUUGUCGGGGCUUAUUGGAUUGUCCCGGCAGCGAAGUUGUCCCUGGAAAUAACUCUAGCAGAGACCGUACCCGAAACCGACACAGGUGGUCAGGUAGAGCAUACCAAGGCGCUUGAGAGAACUGUGCUGAAGGAACUCGGCAAAUUGCACGCGUAACUUCGGAAUAAGCGUGACUCACCUAGCGCAAGCUAGACUGAGUGGCACAAGCCAGGGGGUAGCGACUGUUUAGCAAAAACACAGGGCUCUGCGAAGCAGCAAUGCGACGUAUAGGGUCUGACGCCUGCCCGGUGCCUGAAGGUUAAAGGGAGUUGUGAAAGCGACGAACUGAAGCCCAGGUAAACGGCGGCCGUAACUAUAACGGUCCUAAGGUAGCGAAAUUCCUUGUCGGGUAAGUUCCGACCUGCACGAAUGGCGUAACGACUUCCCCACUGUCUCCAGCACAGGCUCAGUGAAAUUGAAUUCCCCGUGAAGAUGCGGGGUUCCCGCGGUCAGACGGAAAGACCCUAUGAACCUUUACUAUAGCUUCGCCUUGGCGUUAGCGACCGUAUGUGUAGGAUAGGUGGGAGACUAUGAAACCGGGGCGCCAGCUCUGGUGGAGUCAUCCUUGAAAUACCACCCUUACUGUCGUUGACGUCUAACCGAGGGCCGUUAUCCGGUCCCGGGACAUGGCGUGGUGGGUAGUUUGACUGGGGCGGUCGCCUCCUAAAGUGUAACGGAGGCGCGCGAUGGUGAGCUCAGAGCGGUCGGAAAUCGCUCGUCGAGUGCAAUGGCAUAAGCUCGCCUGACUGCGAGACUGACAAGUCGAGCAGAGACGAAAGUCGGCCAUAGUGAUCCGGUGGUCCCGCGUGGAAGGGCCAUCGCUCAACGGAUAAAAGGUACUCUAGGGAUAACAGGCUGAUUUUGCCCAAGAGUCCAUAUCGACGGCAAAGUUUGGCACCUCGAUGUCGGCUCAUCACAUCCUGGGGCUGGAGCAGGUCCCAAGGGUAUGGCUGUUCGCCAUUUAAAGUGGUACGUGAGCUGGGUUCAGAACGUCGUGAGACAGUUUGGUCCCUAUCUGCCGUGGGUGUUCGAAGCUUGAGAGGAUCUGUCCCUAGUACGAGAGGACCGGGAUGGACAUACCUCUGGUGGACCUGUCAUGACGCCAGUUGUGCAGCAGGGUAGCUAUGUAUGGAAUAGAUAACCGCUGAAAGCAUCUAAGCGGGAAACUAACCUCAAAACAAGGCUUCGCUGAGGAUCGUGGAAGACUACCACGUUGAUAGGCCAGGUGUGGAAGUGGGGCGACCCAUGAAGCUUACUGGUACUAAUAAUCCGAUCGGCUUGAUCGUUUCUCA